rnacentral:rRNA from 1 species
GACGAACGCUGGCGGCGUGCUUAACACAUGCAAGUCGAACGGAAAGGCCCUGCUUUUGUGGGGUGCUCGAGUGGCGAACGGGUGAGUAACACGUGAGUAACCUGCCCUUGACUUUGGGAUAACUUCAGGAAACUGGGGCUAAUACCGGAUAGGAGCUCCUGCUGCAUGGUGGGGGUUGGAAAGUUUCGGCGGUUGGGGAUGGACUCGCGGCUUAUCAGCUUGUUGGUGGGGUAGUGGCUUACCAAGGCUUUGACGGGUAGCCGGCCUGAGAGGGUGACCGGCCACAUUGGGACUGAGAUACGGCCCAGACUUCUACGGGAGGCAGCAGUGGGGAAUAUUGCACAAUGGGCGGAAGCCUGAUGCAGCAACGCCGCGUGCGGGAUGACGGCCUUCGGGUUGUAAACCGCUUUCGCCUGUGACGAAGCGUGAGUGGCGGUAAUGGGUAAAGAAGCACCGGCUAACUACGUG